rnacentral:rRNA from 1 species
CUACGGGGUGCAGCAGUGAGGAAUAUUGCACAAUGGGGGGAACCCUGAUGCAGCAACGCCGCGUGGAGGAUGACGCAUUUCGGUGUGUAAACUCCUUUUAUAUGUCAAGAAAAUGACGGUAGCAUAUAAAUAAGCACCGGCUAACUCCGUGCCAGCAGCCGCGGUAAUACGGAGGGUGCAAGCGUUACUCGGAAUCACUGGGCGUAAAGGACGCGUAGGCGGGUUGGAAAGUCAGGUGUGAAAUCCUACAGCUUAACUGUAGAACUGCACUUGAAACUUCUAAUCUAGAGUAUGGGAGGGGGAGAUGGAAUUAGUGGUGUAGGGGUAAAUCCGUAGACAUCACUAGGAAUACCUAAAGCGAAGGCGAUCUCCUGGAACAUUACUGACGCUAAGGCGUGAAAGCGUGGGGAGCAAACAGGAUUAGAUACCCGGGUAGUC